CCAAGUGGAGAACUCACCAGCUGGCGUGUGGACGGUCGGAUACUCAGUGCCAGGGCCCGUUUAGACGGCUGGUUUAACGGAUUGGCCUAAAAUGAAUUUUGAGUUAGAGCUUUUGAAAGCUGUAGGUGCACAUAUAGAACUUUCCUCCCGCCCCUCAGUCCUUCUUGGCUACUAAUCCAAGUCAGGUCAGAAGCUCCUUCUGACACUUUUCUUCCAGAAAACAUAUAAAGUUGUAUGUAUUUCCAAGACAUCACUCUGCUGCCUACAUCAACAGUAAAGAAAGAAAUGCAGCCAUAUAUUAGGGUGCAAUAUUGAUCAAGAAGGAGGAUCUUCUUGCAGACAGCUCAAAUAUCACCAUCUCUGUGAAGCCUUCCAGCUCAGCCGCCCCCUCCUUGGUCAAUUAAUCCUUCUGUCUACCAAGUUCUCACAGCACUUUGCAAGCAUUUUUUUUGCUGCUGGAAGAAUGGUCCUUGUUUUAGAGAUCUGCAGAGUCUGUCUUCCUGCCAAAGUACAGACUCACUUAUCAGAAAUAUGAGGGAGUUUGAUCAUAAUUAAGUGAAAUCACCUUAUCUGAAAAGUCAGAACGUGCUUUCAGGGUUGAUGCUGGAGCCAAUAAGAAAUUGCACUUGUUUACAGAAGAAGGAAAGUGGAAUACGGCCUGAGUAUACCUGCUAUGAUUCCAAGUACCAGUAGCAUUUAGCUUGCUGCCUCUCUGACCCAGUUCCAAAGUAAGGAAGAAAUGAAAUUGGUCUAGCUCGGGACAGCCCCCUGGCCCCAUCCAAUCCAAUCCACGAAGAUCCUGUGUGAGAAUUUUUCUCAGAUUUUGAAUUGAAGUGAUUUAGUCAAUUUUAACCCAGGAAAGUCAUUUCCAAGUAGAGCCACCACCCCACCCGAAGCUUCUGGAGGGAGCUGGGAGAGCUGGAGACAGCCACAAUGCCAGAAGCUAGUUUGCAUUACUAAGACCAGAGUUGGGAUUCUCUGCCUUGACUCUCUGUGGCUGGAAGUAGAGGGCAUGGAAGGAGAAAACUUCCCUUGCAUACCUGUCACAGACCAGAUGUUUCACAAAAACAAUCCCAUUUAAUUUUAAUUCGCAUAACCCUCCAAGGUGGCUGUGAUUUCCAUUUUGAAGUUCAAAUAACUGUGGCUAGGAGGGGAGAGGAAACUCCUCGUACAAAGCGACAUACCUAGUUGUGUUGGCACUGACAGCCCUCGCUGCCGUUCAGGGCGCCGUGCAUUUCAUUCACUACGUAAUGCUACUGAGCACCUGCAGUGGGCUGGGCACGGACUCAGGGACUAGGGAUGCAGAGGUGAACAAAGUCUCUGCCCUCAUGCAGUUCCAAGUGGUGGUUUAAACAGCAAUAAAUAAAUAUAUAUGAUGAAACAUGGGGCUUUGGUUUGGGGAAAGGGAAUGAAAGGGGUGGGGGUGGCUAUGUCGCUCUCAAGCAUCUGUCCACUGGCUAGACACCUCUCUCCAGCAACGAGCACCCUGUUACCAAUCUCCUUCCUGCGUGGGAGUGCAUGUGGGCAGCGCCGGUGCACCUGCAUGGUACGGGCUAGGCACGAAGGCGGCGAAAUAGACAAGAGCGAGGAGGAACACGGAGGCAGAGUCAAAUUUGCAAAGCCGGUGUUUUCCUUGGGCUUUGGUCCAUUCCUCUCUUUCAGUUCUUUUUCGACCCCUCAGUGACUUCCCAGCACACCUGGUUUUUCUUAUUUUCAUCUUGACUAUGACUACCUCCUCUGCCUCCCAAGUGACCCUGCCUGGAAGAUGAUGCAUACUGCCCCUCCUCCCCACCAGCUCCUCAGGAGUUGACCAUUUCCUUGUGACCUUGACUUGUCUCCUUCAAAAGGUACACAUUCUGUGUUUCAAUCCUCCAGGGCCUAUUAAGUGACCACAUAGAUAGUGUUUUCCUUACAAAACUAUCUUAUUUUUGCAUUGUAUUUACAUUUUGAUAGGCUGCAAAUAUCUCUCACUGUUGAAGUGCCCCAGGACCUCUUAUCUUUGCUUUUGCCUCCUUGGUGGUCUCAUCCUGUUUCAAGGCUUUAGAUGCAUCUACAAACAGAUGACUCUCAAAAUUCAUAUUCCAUUGUAGACCACCCUCUCUGCCUAUCUGACUUCUAAUAGACAUCUCAGAAUGAGCAUUCUAUGUCCAAAUCUUGGUUUCCAUCUGCAGCCUUUUUCAUCUGAGUCAACCACAACUUCAUUUUUCAGCUGCUCAGGACAACAAAUUUGGGGGCAUCUUCUAUUCUCAUGCCCAGAAGUGGUUGGUUCAGUGUCAAAUAAAUCUAGAAUUCAACUUUUUCUGACCCUUUUCUCUGCUACCACUCUGAUCUAAGCCACCAUCAUCUCCGGGUUUGCUGAUGGGUUUGCUGAUUUCGACAGCCUUCUAACACUUUCUUCUUGCAGUCUACUAACUCAGUAGCCAGAGUGAUCUUGUUAAUAAGUAAAUCAGAUCAUCUCAGUGCUUGGUUUAUACCCUCCAGUGGCUCCCACCUCACUCAGAGGAGUUCAGCUUGAAACUCUGCCCUCUUCCCUGAAAAGAAACCCAAAAUACCAAACAAACACAGCAAGCCCUAUCUCCUCUAGUCUGCCCCUUUAUCACCCCUCCCUCUAAGUAGGAGUGCCAUGUGAUCUGUGACAUUUUCAGGGCCACACCCUGGCUGCAGCUGGAGCUAUCCUCAUGUGGCAGUUUGAAAGUUGGUCAAGGUUAGAUUUGCUAAGAUCUCUGAACUCUUCCUGCUAGCCCUGGAAGAUAAGAACUUCUAGCGACUUUAUCUAAGCAGAGAUUGUCCCCUUUGUCCCCACCCAUACAGGAAUCAGUCUUCUGUUCCCAAACUGUAGCUCAAAGCCCACACCCAUAGGAAGUGCCUGUUUCAGGCAACAUUUAACCUGGCAGCUUUCUUCUUAGCUUUUCAGUGACUUUUUUUCACUCAUUUUUUCCUUUAAGAAAACGAAGUCCAUUUUAAUUUUUUGGGCUUGAUGGAACUAGGACAA